UUUGUGCUUCCUGCAAGCAGAGAGACUUUGUAUGGGACACUCAUGCAUGCCUACUUCUGGGAAUCUCUCUGAGUGUGAUGUGUGGACACCAGGACACCAUGAUCAGGGAUGUGAGGCCACAGGAGCAAUUGCCUUAGCCGGACCCAAAGGAUGUAAAAACACUAAAGGGGGAGAUGUUUUUGCCCUGAGGCUUUCACUGGGAACUACCAGAUGCACUGUGUCUGUUGCCAGACUAGGAAAAUUGUGGUGCCUGUCCAUGUGAAGAGUCUCCUUGAUGAGUUCCUUCUCAAUCCUUUUUCGCAAGGACCCGGGGAGUUUGUGCUUCCUGCAAGCAGAACUACUUUGUAUGGGACACUCAUGCAUGCCUACUCUGGGAAUCUCUCUGACUGUGAUGUGCGGACACCAGGACACCAUGAUCAGGGAUUGUGAGGCCACAGGACUAAUUACCUUAGCCGG